UCCGGUUUGGCACCGGCAGUCCUCCCAGAGUCCUCAGCCUUACCUGGUAGCAACUGGGAGCGGGGGUUGCGCUCGUUGCGGGACUUAACCCAACAUCUCACGACACGAGCUGACGACAGCCAUGCAGCACCUGUGCGAGCGCCCCGAAGGGGGGCCGUGGUUUCUCACGGCUUUCGCUCGCAUGUCAAGCCCGGGUAAGGUUCUGCGCGUUGCGUCGAAUUAAACCACAUGCUCCACCGCUUGUGCGGGCCCCCGUCAAUUCCUUUGAGUUUCAGCCUUGCGGCCGUACUCCCCAGGCGGGGCACUUAAUGCGUUAGCGCCGGCACCCGAGGGGUCGCUCCCCCGAGCACCUAGUGCCCAUCGUUUACGGCGUGGACUAC
rnacentral:misc_RNA from 1 species